rnacentral:tRNA from 3 species
GGCCAGGUAGCUCAGUCGGUAGAGCAACGGACUGAAAAUCCGUGUGUCGUUGGUUCGAUUCCGACCCUGGCCA